AGUGAACGCUGGCGGUAGGCCUAACACAUGCAAGUCGAACGGCAGCACAGUAAGAGCUUGCUCUUACGGGUGGCGAGUGGCGGACGGGUGAGGAAUACAUCGGAAUCUACUUUUUCGUGGGGGAUAACGUAGGGAAACUUACGCUAAUACCGCAUACGACCUACGGGUGAAAGCAGGGGAUCUUCGGACCUUGCGCGAUUGAAUGAGCCGAUGUCGGAUUAGCUAGUUGGCGGGGUAAAGGCCCACCAAGGCGACGAUCCGUAGCUGGUCUGAGAGGAUGACAGGCCACACGGGAACUGAGCACCGGCCCAGCCCCCUAGGGGAGGCAGCGGUGGGGAAUUUUGGACAAGGGGCGAAAGCCUGCUCCAGCCAUACCGGGGGGGUGAAAAAGGCCUUCGGGUUGUAAAGCCUUUUUGUGGGGAAAAAAAAGCAGCAGGUUAAACCCCCGCUGUUCUGACGGUACCCAAAGAAUAAGCACCGGCUAACUUCGU
rnacentral:rRNA from 1 species